CCUACGGGUGGCAGCAGUGAGGAAUAUUGGUCAAUGGGCGGAAGCCUGAACCAGCCAAGUAGCGUGCAGGAUGACGGCCCUACGGGUCGUAAACCGCUUUUAUACGGGAAUAACGCGCCUUACGUGUAGGGCUUUGCAUGUACCUUAUGAAUAAGGACCGGCUAAUUCCGUGCCAGCAGCCGCGGUAAUACGGAAGGUCCGGGCGUUAUCCGGAUUUAUUGGGUUUAAAGGGGGCGUAGGCGGCCUGUCAAGCGUGCUGUGAAAGGUCCGGGCUCAACCCGGGCCUUGCAGUGGAAACUGGCGUGCUGGAGUCCGCGGGAGGCAGGCGGAAUUCGUGGUGUAGCGGUGAAAUGCUUAGAUAUGACGAAGAACCCCGAUUGCGAAGGCAGCUUGCUGCAGCGGAACUGACGCUGAUGCUCGAAAGCGCGGGUAUCGAACAGGAUUAGAUACCCGGGUAGUC
rnacentral:rRNA from 1 species